rnacentral:lncRNA from 1 species
AAAAAAGUUACUCUAGAGAAGUAUUUGGGACCCCCAUGGGAAUGAGAUGCGUCUACCACCGUAACAGGAGGGACCUCUGCAUCCAGGACAUCUGGGUCCAGGAACGCUAGUAGGAGUGAAGUUAUUUAUUUUGGCAUGCAAGGGAAUGACAGACACUGAGUUUUGAUAAAUACUGGAUUUUUAAAUGCAAUAAUCCUCCAAGUGACUAUCUCUGGGGAGAAGAAGAGGGCAAGUCAUAUGGGAGAAUAUUCUAUGGCUGAAAACCUGAACGCAGCAGUAAAAGUACACGUUUUUAAAACGACUCAUAAACCAAAUGCACAAAACACAGUCAGGUGAAGUUUCUCUCAUUUGUUACGGAGGUUGGUCGUAUUUCUUCCUGGUGCCUGGAAGACGUCACGUGGUCUGAACACAGUCUUGGCUGGUGAUGAUUCCUGAUUUUUGUCUGAAAUCCUUGGCCAAAGAAAAGAAAGAGAACAAAUGAGUCUCUUUAUUUUUUUUUAAAGAAGGUUUGUAUCAUAUUUCUCGAAUUCUAAAUGUAUAUUUAUGUUUGACAAAAGUUAUAAAUAUC